UUCGGUGGUUAUAGCAUAGGGGAAACGCCCGGUUACAUUCCGAACCCGGAAGCUAAGGCCUAUAGCGCUGAUGGUACUGCACUCGGGAGGGUGUGGGAGAGUAAGUCACCGCCGAAA
rnacentral:rRNA from 1 species